GAUGAACGCUGGCGGCGUGCCUAAUACAUGCAAGUCGAGCGAACAGACGAGGAGCUUGCUCCUCUGACGUUAGCGGCGGACGGGUGAGUAACACGUGGAUAACCUACCUAUAAGACUGGGAUAACUUCGGGAAACCGGAGCUAAUACCGAAUAAUAUAUUGAACCGCAUGGUUCAAUAGUGAAAGACGGUUUUGCUGUCACUUAUAGAUGGAUCCGCGCCGCAUUAGCUAGUUGGUAAGGUAACGGCUUACCAAGGCAACGAUGCGUAGCCGACCUGAGAGGGUGAUCGGCCACACUGGAACUGAGACACGGUCCAGACUCCUACGGGAGGCAGCAGUAGGGAAUCUUCCGCAAUGGGCGAAGGCCUGACGGAGCAACGCCGCGUGAGUGAUGAAGGUCUUCGGAUCGUAAAACUCUGUUAUUAGGGAAGAACAAAUGUGUAAGUAACUAUGCACGUCUUGACGGUACCUAAUCAGAAAGCCACGGCUAACUACGUG
rnacentral:rRNA from 1 species